UGGUUAAAAAGCUCGUAGUUGGAUCUCAACAGCCUUGAAGCGGUUAACUUUGUAGUUUUACUGCUUUAUAGGCUGUGCUUUUGCUGGAGGUUUAGGGGUGCUCUCGAUCGAGUGUCUCUGGAUGCCAGCAGGUUUACUUUGAAAGAAUUAGAGUGCUCAAAGCAGGCUAAAAUGCCUGAAUAUUCGUGCAUGGAAUAAUAGAAUAGGAUGUCGAUCCUAUUUUGUUGGUUUUCGGGACUCGACAUAAUGAUAAAUAGGGACAGUCGGGGGCAUUUGUAUUCAAACGACAGAGGUGAAAUUCUUGGACCGUUUGAAGACAAACUACUGCGAAAGCAUUUGCCAAGAAUGUUUUCAUUAAUCAAGAACGAAAGUUAGAGGUUCGAAGGCGAUUAGAUACCGCCCUAGUUCUAACCAUAAACGAUGCCAGCUAGCGAUCUGCCUGCGUUUUUACUGUAGACUGGGCAGGAAGCUUCCGGGAAACCAAAGCAUUUGGGUUCCAGGGGAAGUAUGGUUGCAAAGCUGAAACUUAAAGGAAUUGACGGAAGGGCACCACCAG
rnacentral:rRNA from 1 species